GGAAGUAAAAGUCGUAACAAGGUUUCCGUAGGUGAACCUGCGGAAGGAUCAUUAACGAACUCUCGAGGGACGCAGUUGCUGCUGGACUUCUCAGAAGUCAUCGUGCACACGGUCUUUCUUCUCGUUCAAUCAUCUACCCCUAUCUGUGCACCCCUCGUAGGCUGAGAUCUCUCGGCCUAUGCUCUUUCCACAAAGCAUCCUAAUAUAUCAGUGAAUGGGCAAGUCGUUCGAAUCUCGUCUCGACGCAGCAUUUAUAUAUAACUUUCAACAACGGAUCUCUUGGCUCUCGCAUCGAUGAAGAACGCAGCGAAAUGCGAUAAGUAAUGUGAAUUGCAGAAUUCAGUGAAUCAUCGAAUCUUUGAACGCACCUUGCGCCCCUUGGUACUCUGAGGGGCAUGCCUGUUUGAGUGUCAUCAGACCAUCAACCCGAAAGGCUUUCGAGCUCAUCGGUGUUUGGAGCUUGCGGCGUGCGGGGAUCGCUCUCGCGAGCGCUCCGCUCCUCGCGGAAUACAUCAGCGGAUGUCCUCUUGCGGACCCGGCCUUGGCGUGAUAACUGUCUACGUCCUGGCAUGGGUCGCGCGCCCUCGGCUCUGCUUCGAACGGUCGCCAUUCGCGCGACGGGGGAACCUUUGACGAUUUGACCUCAAAUCAGGUAGGAUUACCCGCUGAACUUAAGCAUAUCAAUAAGCGGAGGA
rnacentral:rRNA from 1 species